rnacentral:rRNA from 1 species
AGCGAACGCUGGCGGCAGGCCUAACACAUGCAAGUCGAACGAACUCUUCGGAGUUAGUGGCGGACGGGUGAGUAACACGUGGGAACGUGCCUUUUGGUUCGGAAUAACUCAGGGAAACUUGUGCUAAUACCGAAUGUGCCCUUCGGGGGAAAGAUUUAUCGCCAUUAGAGCGGCCCGCGUCUGAUUAGCUAGUUGGUGAGGUAACGGCUCACCAAGGCGACGAUCAGUAGCUGGUCUGAGAGGAUGACCAGCCACACUGGGACGGAGCCACGGCCCAGAUUCCGCCGGAGGGCGGAAGUGGGAAUCAUGGGGCAAGGGGGGAAGGCGGGACGCAGCCUGGCGGGGGAAUGAAUGAGGGUUUUAGAAUUGUAAAAUUCUUUCCCCGGGACGAUAAUGACGGUACCCGGAGAAGAAGCCCCGGCUAACUUCGU